rnacentral:rRNA from 1 species
CAGUCGCCGCGGUAAAACGUAGGUGGCAAGCGUUGUCCGGAAUUAUUGGGCGUAAAGGGCUCGCAGGCGGUUUCUUAAGUCUGAUGUGAAAGCCCCCGGCUCAACCGGGGAGGGUCAUUGGAAACUGGGAAACUUGAGUGCAGAAGAGGAGAGUGGAAUUCCACGUGUAGCGGUGAAAUGCGUAGAGAUGUGGAGGAACACCAGUGGCGAAGGCGACUCUCUGGUCUGUAACUGACGCUGAGGAGCGAAAGCGUGGGGAGUGAAUAGGAUUAGAUACCCCUGUGUCCCUGUCUCUUAUACC